rnacentral:rRNA from 1 species
AUUAAACGCUGGCGGCAUGCUUAACACAUGCAAGUCGAACGGUAACGGGCCCUUCGGGGUGCUGACGAGUGGCGGACGGGUGAGUAAUGCUUAGGAAUCUGCCUAGUAGUGGGGGAUAACCCGGGGAAACUCGGGCUAAUACCGCAUACGCCCUACGGGGGAAAGCGGGGACGUUUCGGCCGUCGCGCUAUUAGAUGAGCCUAAGUCCGA